UCCAAGCCAGGCCUCAGGAAUGCCCCGUUUCCAUUGUCCUCAAGGGAUAAGGACACAAAGAUGCUCCCGAUCACUUCAUCAUUGUCCUCCCUGAAUCCCACUUGCAUCCCGACAUUCCAGCCUCCAGGACUGGCGCUGCAGCUCGGAUCCUGUCCAAGAUCCGAGGAUCGCCGUGGAUCCUGAAGUUGGGCUCUUUGUGCUGCCCCACAUUCCUCGUCCUCCUAAUGGAAUUAAAGAGGAUGCCCAGAAAAGGCCUGGAAAAGAAGAGUGGCAAAGGGAUGAAGAAGACAAUACGUGGAUCCACGGACCAGCUCUGCUGCCUCAAGGAUGGAAGAACACCAAGGAAAAAGGAGUGUGGAUCUUUCCGCCUCGCUGUCAGCCCGCCAGAAGAAAAGAGGCAAACUUCAGGGGACAAAGAAGAAACCAAGCAGAACACCCAAG